GUCCACAUCACAUCACCAGUCCACAUCACAUCACCAGUCCACAUCACAUCACCGGUCCACAUCACCAGUCCACAUCACAUCACCAGUCCACAUCACAUCACCAGCCCACAUCACAUCACCAGCCGACAUCACAUCACCAGCCGACAUCACAUCACCAGUCCACAUCAUAUUACCAGCCCACAUCACAUUACAUCACCAGCCCAUUCUCCUCUGUUGUUUUCAGGGGCAUUUGCCUCUCUCACUUGCUCUCUUUCCUCAAUUUGAUGAUUGGUUUAGCAUCAUCCUAAUCUGGUCCACUGUCUGCUAGGUUUAGCAUCAUCAUAAUCUGGUUCCCUGUCUGCUAGGUCAAGCAUCAUCAUAAUCUGGUUCCCUGUCUGCUAGGUCUAGCAUCAUCCUAAUCUGGUCCACUGUCUGCUAGGUUUAGCAUCAUCCUAAUCUGGUCCACUGUCUGCUAGGUUUAGCAACAUCCUAAUCUGGUCCACUGUCUGCUAGGUUUAGCAUCAUCCUAAUCUGGUCCACUGUCUGCUAGGUUUAGCAUCAUCAUAAUCUGGUUCCCUGUCUGCUAGGUUUAGCAUCAUCCUAAUCUGGUUCCCUGUCUGCUAGGUCUAGCAUCAUCCUAAUCUGGUUCCCUGUCUGCUAGGUUUAGCAUCAUCCUAAUCUGGUUCCCUGUCUGCUAGGUUUAGCAUCAUCCUAAUCUGGUCCACUGUCUGCUAGGUUUAGCAUCAUCCUAAUCUGGUCCACUGUCUGCUAGGUUUAGCAUCAUCCUAAUCAGGUCCACUGUCUGCUAGGUUUAGCAUCAUCCUAAUCUGGUCCACUGUCUGCUAGGUUUAGCAUCAUCCUAAUCUGGUCCACUGUCUGCUAGGUCUAGCAUCAUCCUAAUCUGGUUCCCUGUCUGCUAGGUCAAGCAUCAUCCUAAUCUGGUUCCCUGUCUGCUAGGUCAAGCAUCAUCCUAAUCUGGUCCACUGUCUGUGCUAGGUCUAGCAUCAUCCUAAUCUGGUCCACUGUCUGCUAGGUCUAACAUCAUCCUAAUCUGGUUCCCUGUCUGCUAGGUCAAGCAUCAUCCUAAUCUGGUCCACCGUCUGUGCUAGGUCUAGCAUCAUCCUAAUCUGGUCCACUGUCUGCUAGGUCUAGCAUCAUCCUAAUCUGGUAACCUGUCUGCUAGGUCAAGCAUCAUCCUAAUCUGGUCCACUGUCUGCUAGGUUUAGCAUCAUCCUAAUCUGGUCCACUGUCUGCUAGGUCUAGCAUCAUCCUAAUCUGGUCCACUGUCUGUGCUAGGUCUAGCAUCAUCCUAAUCUGGUCCACUGUCUGUGCUAGGUCUAGCAUCAUCCUAAUCUGGUCCACUGUCUGUGCUAGGUCUAGCAUCAUCCUAGGGUGCGUUCGAAAAUUCACUCUG
rnacentral:lncRNA from 1 species